rnacentral:rRNA from 1 species
GUUGAACGCUGGCGGCAUGCCUUACACAUGCAAGUCGAACGGCAGCAUGAUCUAGCUUGCUAGAUUGAUGGCGAGUGGCGAACGGGUGAGUAAUACAUCGGAACGUGCCCUGUAGUGGGGGAUAACUAGUCGAAAGAUUAGCUAAUACCGCAUACGACCUGAGGGUGAAAGUGGGGGACCGCAAGGCCUCAUGCUAUAGGAGCGGCCGAUGUCUGAUUAGCUAGUUGGUGAGGUAAAGGCUCACCAAGGCGAAGAUCAGGAGCUGGUCUGAGAGGACGAUCAGCCAAACUGGGACUGAGACACGGCACAGACUCCUACGGGAGGCAGCAGUGGGGAAUUUUGGACAAUGGGGGCAACCCUGAUCCAGCAAUGCCGCGUGUGUGAAGAAGGCCUUCGGGUUGUAAAGCACUUUUGUCCGGAAAGAAAUCGCACUUACUAAUAUUAGGUGUGGAUGACGGUACCGGAAGAAUAAGGACCGGCUAACUACGUGCCAGCCGCCGCCGUAAAAC